ensembl:lncRNA
CUGGGGAGUGCCGUAAUUUAGGUCUUUAGAAAAUCGAACAAUAUAUAAGAGUUUCAUGUCCCAUUGAGAAGAGAAAGUUCAGGGGGCAGAGUUUAUCACAUAUUAGUGGCGGUGAGGUAAUAUCAUCUGGUUGGUGGUGAGGUAAUACCAUCUAUCAUCUAGUUGGCGGUGAGGUAAUACCAUCUAUCAUCUAGUUGGCGGUGAGGUAAUACCAUCUAUCAUCUAGUUGGCGGUGAGGUAAUACCAUCUAUCAUCUAGUUGGCGGUGAGGUAAUACCAUCUAGUUGGCGGUGAGGUAAUACCAUCUAGUUGGCGGUGAGGUAAUACCAUCUAUCAUGUAGUUGGCGGUGAGGUAAUACCAUCUAUCAUCUAGUUGGCGGUGAGGUAAUACCAUCUAUCAUCUAGUUGGCGGUGAGGUAAUGCCAUCUAUCAUCUAGUUGGCGGUGAGGUAAUACCAUCUAUCAUCUAGUUGGCGGUGAGGUAAUACCAUCUAUCAUCUAGUUGGCGGUGAGGUAAUGCCAUCUAUCAUCUAGUUUGCGGUGAGGUAAUGCCAUCUAUCAUCUAGUUGGCGGUGAGGUAAUAUCAUCUAUUUGAGGUAAGUUACUGCAACUCUGCCACGUUUGAAAGAAAUGGGAAUGAGAACUUGUAACGUUGCAUGGGUCAUUGUGAUAAGUACUUGGUAUCGUUGUGAUGAUGAUAAGUACUAGGUAUCGUUGUGAUGGGGAUAAGUACUAGGUAUCGUUGUGAUGGGGAUAAGUACUAGGAAUCGUUGUGAUGGGGAUAAGUACUAGGUAUCGUUGUGAUGGGGAUAAGUACUAGGAAUCGUUGUGAUGGGGAUAAGUACUAGGAAUCGUUGUGAUGGGGAUAAGUACUAGGUAUCGUUGUGAUGGGGAUAAGUACUAGGUAUCGUUGUGAUGGGGAUAAGUACUAGGAAUCGUUGUGAUGGGGAUAAGUACUAGGUAUCGUUGUGAUGGGGAUAAGUACUAGGAAUCGUUGUGAUGGGGAUAAGUACUAGGAAUCGUUGUGAUGGGGAUAAGUACCAGGUAUCAUUGGUAUAGUGCUAUGUACUAGGUAUCAUGGUGAUGGGGAUAUGUACUAGGUAUUGAUGUGUAUUAUUCUAGAGAGUCUCUGGUCAGAGGUAGAGGCCACUCAUUUUGACACCUAGAGAGCCUCUGGUCAGAGGUAGAGGCCACUCGUUUUGACACCUAGAGAGCCUCUGACCAGAGGUAGAAGCCACUCGUUUUGACACCUAGAGAGCCUCUGGUCAGAGGUAGAAGCCACUCGUUUUGACACCUAGAGAGCCUCUGACCAGCGGUAGAAGCCACUCGUUUUGACACCUAGAGAGCCUCUGACCAGCGGUAGAGGCCACUCGUUUUGACAGGAGCCACAUAGAGAACCUCUAUAUCGGACAGCGUGUCAUUUGAAAUGAAAACGUAGAUCUAACGACAACCAGGGUUUGGCAAGGGAUACGUCUUUUAAUUUAGACCGUGACGAACCUAACCGCGGAAAUUCUAGUGAAGAGAUGUAUUUGCACACACACUUCAUGCAUACAACACCAGAAGACGGUACACUGUACACACGGACGAGUGUUACACAACAGGGAAAAACAACUUCCAUAAUCCAGUUUUUUUUAUUUGGAAUGAACUUGGGUUUUCUUUUUUUGUGUUCUAUUUCUACAGGUUUUGGUUUUCCGAUGCACUAUGUUUUUUAUUACGUCGUUUUGCCACUUCCUGUUAGGCACUUUUGAAGUUCUGCACUUCGAAAAACAUGUUUUAAUUCAAUAAUGCACCCAACCCCACCCCACAGUGCAAUGCUCCUAUUGAAAAGAUGAAUACUGGAGGUGGAAGGUAUGACGCAAAGGAUUGUUAAAGUGAAACAAGCAAAUUCACAGCAUCAUUUCAUACCUCUUUUUUUUUUUAAAUUUUUUUAGAGAAUAUCAGAGAGAAUGUGACAUUUCUGGGAUUUUUGUUUCUUGAGGAAGUUUACGGUGUAAUUCCUGAUAUUAAGGAAACCUAUUUUCUUCCUCUGACUGAAGAUUGUUUGAUGUUAUGCCCUUAAACACAGAUCUAGAAUCAGCUUACCUGCAAUCAUAACCUUGAAUAUCAAUUGGAUGGAUGGGGGAGGGGGGGUUCAGUUAUAGCUGAACUCAGAUCAGUGUCUAUGGGUUGAGUGGAGCUUAUGGAUCCCAAACGUCUGGUAGUGUGACCACUGACUGCAGUUGUGUGAGGGAAGAGACAUAUAUGUCCAAUGGUUAUAUUCUCAUCGGAGUCUGGUAGCAGCUUGUUCUGUGGAACCAUCCAUUUCCCCUUGUGGAGUUGAACCAACUGGGUUGAGCUAAACUACAUCGGAAUAGUAGGAUUUUUAGUUUGUUUGGUAGCGAAACAAAGUGAAUGUGGACGAUGGGUUUUAAAAUAUUAUUUUUUUACUUUUCUAAAAGUCUGAAGUGUCUUUUUUGGAAGGUUAUCUUUAUUUUUUAUUUAUUUUUAUUUUACCUUUAUUUAACUAGGCAAGUCAGUUAAGAACCAAUUCUUAUUUUCAAUGACGGCCUAGCAACAGUGGGUUAACUGCCUGUUCAAGGGCAGAACGACAGAUUUGUACCUUGUCAGCUCGGGGUUUGAACUUGCAACCUUCCGGUUACUAGUCCAACGCUCUAACCACUAGGCUACCCUGCCGCAGCAGCAGCAGGAUUUCCUCAUUUUGGGGGGGUGGCUGGCUUCUUCAUUUGCUAGCUGUGAGAGAACCCUUGUCAUUCCACCUGUUUAUAUAGCAAGUCAUUUCCUUAUGGUUCUAUUGUCCUACCUGGUGUGGUGUCUCGGUAGGUUGAGCCUGUGAGGUUGUGAGCCAUGACUUUAUGCAAUGUCUUACCAUAUUAUAUGUCCAACUGCAAUGAGGAUGAUUUAUGGUCUGCAAUGAGGAUGAUUUAUGGUCUGCAAUGAGGAUGAUUUAUGGUCUGCAAUGAGGAUGAUUUAUGGUCUGCAAUGAUGAGGAUGAUUUAUGGUCUGCAAUGAUGAGGAUGAUUUAUGGUCUGCAAUGAUGAGGAUGAUUCAUGGUCUGCAGUGAUGAGGAUGAUUUAUGGUCUGCAAUGAUGAGGAUGAUUCAUGGUCUGCAGUGAUGAGGAUGAUUUAUGGUCUGCAAUGAUGAGGAUGAUUUAUGGUCUGCAGUGAUGAGGAUGAUUUAUGGUCUGCAAUGAUGAGGAUGAUUUAUGGUCUGCAAUGAUGAGGAUGAUUUAUGGUCUGCAAUGAUGAGGAUGAUUUAUGGUCUGCAAUGAUGAGGAUGAUUUAUGGUCUGCAAUGAUGAGGAUGAUUCAUGGUCUGCAAUGAUGAGGAUGAUUCAUGGUCUGCAAUGAUGAGGAUGAUUCAUGGUCUGCAAUGAUGAGGA